AUAGAUCGCUUUCGCAUAUGGGCCAAAGGAGGUGAUGGUGGCAGCGGUUGUACCAGUAUCCGUCGUAGUCGACAUGAUCGCCGUGGCAUACCUGACGGUUUGUUCUCUAAUCAGUUCAUACCUCAUGGGUGGUGGGGAGGCAAUAUGUGACUAGUUGACUGCCAUCUUCCAUCUUUGCAUCCUUUUCGUCGUAGUCGACACGAUCGCCGUGGCAUACCUGACGGUUUGUUCUCUAAUCAGUUCAUACCUCAUGGUGGUGGGGAGGCAAUAUGUCACUAGUUGACUGCGUCUUCCAUCUUUGCAUCCUUUUCUUUCCCCUAAUUGAAGUUCUAUUUCCAAUUUUAUUAUCAUUCAUCUCUUGCAUGCUCUUUUUCUCCUUCAAUUUUUCUCUGUUAAAACAUUGCUUGGCUGUGCAUUUCGUCCCUUGGUUCUUCAUAAGAUAUUUGGUUUAACUACUAUUAUCUUUUACUUGACAUGUUUGAAAUACAGAAGAUAUACUCACCAACUGAAUUAACAAUUAAGAUACUAUCAACGAAAUCAAGACACUCACUAAUUUAAUGGUAGAUGAUACAAGUUAGACAUCCAAUACAUCAGAUAUCUAACCUGAAUUUUAGAUAUCAACUAUUUACCAGUAAAGUUUGAACCAAAAACCAACCAUUCCAGCGGCUUUAGUCCCAAGGCUAAUUACUUCAUCUGUUGGUCGGAUGCCUGAAAAACUUUUUUGUAGCAAAAAAUUCAAUGGACAAAGAAAACCAAUUAUUUGUAUAGUUAGAAUUCUCCACAUCCCCAAAUAUAGAAAGAAAAAUAAAAGAGAAACUCUUACACCAUAAUUGAAAAAGUAGCUACUUUUAUGAGGCCGGGAAUUGAGAAAACUGAAGGAUGGGUUUAUAAUGAACUGAAAAUUGCAACUUUGAGUCUUAGUGGAGAAUCUUAUGAUUCGGGGUAAUUUGGUAUGCAACUGAAAGUCUGAAACCCCUAUAAAAUUCUAGUCAUUCAGGGAAGUGGAAAUUGCAACUUUCUGUGUCAUCGUUUGAAGCGCACACUUCUUUCGAGCACAUGAUUGAGUCGCUUGUUCAUAAUUUCACCUCACUUCUGCCAUCCUCCAUCUCUGUGUAUUCCCCUUGGACUUCACUCCUGAAACAAUUACUCUCACGUCGCAUCGCUUGAUUGAUGUAAGCAAUGACUUACAAUAACACUGGCUUAAAGAUUGACUUUUCAAUGUUGACCUCCUAGUUAAGUUGCCCCGCCUUUUUUUUCCAGUAAAUUUUCCCAAAAGGUUUAUUUGUGCAUUAUCUUCCAAGUCUGUCCUUUGUUGGUUCUUAUUUUCUUUUAAUUUUCUUCAUACAAUACCUUUUGUAAGUAACUCAUUUAAGAUAUGCAGACAAGCUUGAUUUGUUAUAGGGACCAGUUGUAGGAUUUUCUCUGUUCUUACCUCAUUUUUGUACUGGAUGCAGGUGGGAAUGGUG
rnacentral:lncRNA from 1 species